GAUGAACGCUAGCUACAGGCUUAACACAUGCAAGUCGAGGGGAAACGACAUCGAAAGCUUGCUUUUGAUGGGCGUCGACCGGCGCACGGGUGAGUAACGCGUAUCCAACCUGCCCAUCACUUGGGAAUAACCUUGCGAAAGUAAGACUAAUACCCAAUGAUAUCCCACGAAGGCAGCGGAAUGGGAUGAAAGAUUUAUCGGUGAUGGAUGGGGAUGCGUCUGAUUAGCUUGUUGUCGGGGUACCGGCCCACCAAGGCAACGAUCAGUAGGUGUUCUGAGAGUCAUGUCCCCGACAAUGGACUGGAGGUUCGGUCCAAACAUCUACUGUAGCGAGCAGUGCGUAAUAUUGGGCAAUGGGGUCGACACUGAACCAGCCAAGUAGCGUGCAGGAAGACGACCCUAUGGCUGCUAAACUGCUAUUACAAGUGAAUAAUGUGGGUUCAGUGUGACUUUUUGCAUGUACCUGAUGAAUAAGGACCGGCUAAUUCCGUG
rnacentral:rRNA from 1 species